rnacentral:lncRNA from 1 species
GUCAAAACUGCUUCUGCAAGAUGAUCCUCAGCUGAGUCUACACACUCUGAAAGAAAUGUUUCUCUGUUCGACAUCCUCAAACAGCUGGACCAAAAACAUGCUGGACUUUUAAGUGCUCAGUGGAGUGAUGGACUGACUGAAGGGGGACCCGGCUUCCUGUAUCUGCUCUAAGCAGCUGUCACUGUUCAUGUUACAGGAUUUUUAUCAGUUCAUUUGGGAGUGAUUCUAACAAAAGUGUAGGACUGGAGACUCCCGUUCCCCUGGAUACUUCUGGAAAACACUUCAUCUAUGCUGCAAGCUCGAUUUCCAAUUUUUCUACUUUUUUACGUAUAUUUUUGACAGUGACAGUAUAUCCUGGACUCAGUUUUGUGAAAGUGGAGGGAGAGGAUAUUGAUGAAAUGCAAAACUGAAUUUGUACACACCUCAUAUUUGAUUUCACUGCCUCAGAGAUACAUGUCUUAACUAAUGGGCAAGCCAAAGGCUGACAGCUUUGUUUGUGUUCUCCACUAAGUGAUUUUUAAUCAACUGGUCUGCAUGAGUCCUCCCAAGGGCCUGAGCGGCAGAGGCUGUGAGAGAUUGAGCAGAGGGCUGGUGGAUGGCUGGCCGGAGAUAGUAGAGACAGACAAAGUGGCAUUUCCUGACUGUUCCCAUCCCCGUCUGAGUUAUCUGACACCCAAAAAUACGGCUAACGGGGAAGCAGGGAGACGAGGCACCCACAGCCUUAUCCCGGAACAAGGUUUCAGAGCGAUGAUAACUUUUCGAGAGGAUGAGAGGAUGCACCAUCAAAACUGCAGUUCAGGCCACGUCCUUGCACAUCCAGCCUGCCUCUCUGCCCCCUAUCCACCUGCUCCUCUCUCCCUGCUGCCUUACCUGUACUCACCUGUGUCUGUCUGUGCAGAUUUCUCCGUUGUUGGAAUAGCACCUGCACUGGAACUUUUUGACAAGAGCAAAGUGUCCACCACGGCUAUCACCAGUGGACAUGGAUCACCGAGGGGGCCUGUGAUUAACAGAUAGCACCUUGUCUCCUCCGCUGGCAGGCCAUCAUUACGACGAGCACUAGAAGAUAGGUUCUGUGGGAGAAAAGACCUUUUGGAAAAU